rnacentral:rRNA from 1 species
UCCUAGCCUUAUUAUCAAUUAUCUUUUAACUUACACAUGCAAGUCUCAGCACACCCGUGCAGGACGCCCUUUACCCCUACCAGGCUUAGGAGCUGGUAUCAGGCGCAGCCCAUAACACCUAGUCCCACCACACCCCCAAGGGUACUCAGCAGUGAUAAACAUUGUCUAUAAGCGCCAGCUUGACCCAGUUAUAAAGAAGAGGGCCGGCCAACUUGGUGCCAGCCGCCGCGGCUGGACUCAAAUUGAUAAUUCCCGGUAAGCGUGAUUAAAGCCAUACACCAAUUAGAGUUAAACCUAUGUUGAGCAGUGAAAAGACGAAAGUUACUCUAAUCUUGAAUACACGACAGCUAGAAUACAAACUGGGAUUAGAUACCCCACUAUG